rnacentral:lncRNA from 1 species
GUGAGUGCGGGAGUGUGAGUUACACUUUGUUCGAGAAGCUUCCUGACUGUUCUCAGGAUAUGUGUGCGGUUGCUAGGUGACUUAAGGCGUCAGAGUUCUUGUGAUCUCACUCAGCUCAGAAAGAGAAACUAGGGAUCAAAGUCCAGAAACAAUAAGAAUCAGUGCUAUACAAAUGGGGUGUUCAUGUGUCCAAGAGUUCCUGAGGCACAGCCAGGGCACCUGGGUCAGCAGUCUGAAAGGGGAAAUAGGAUGAUCCAAGGUCUUCAGGAAGAGAGAAUGGAAGACUCGGGUGGGUGUGUCUUGUUUAUAUAGACAGGUUCUCUCUGUGCGGCUUGUACUGAUCUCUAGAACUCACUGAGAUCUGCCUGCUCUGCCUGGGAUUGAAGGCUAUGCCCCCAAGUCUACUUCUAGCAAC